rnacentral:rRNA from 1 species
UUAAAGGAAUUGACGGGGAGCACCACAACAGGUGGAGCCUGCGGUUUAAUCGGACUCAACGCCGGGAAACUCACCAGAUAAGACAGCUGAAUGAUAGUCGGGCUGAAGACUCUACUUUGACUAGCUGAGAGGAGGUGCAUGGCCGUCGUCAGUUCGUACUGUGAAGCAUCCUGUUAAGUCAGGCAACGAGCGAGACCCACGCCAACAGUUGCCAGCUCGUCCUCCGGGAUGGUGGGGACACUGUUGGGACCGCCUCUGCUAAGAGGAGGAAGGAAUGGGCAACGGUAGGUCAGUAUGCCCCGAAUAUCCCGGGCUACACGCGAGCUACAAUGGUUGGUACAAUGGGUAUCUACCCCGAAAGGGGACGGGAAUCUCCUAAAACCAAUCUUAGUUCGGAUUGAGGGCUGCAACUCGCCCUCAUGAAGCUGGAAUCCGUAGUAAUCGCGUUUCAACAGAACGCGGUGAAUACGUCCCUGCUCCUU